rnacentral:rRNA from 1 species
AGGUAACACGUGGGCAACCUGCCAAAGAGGGGAGUAACACUUGGAACAGGUGCUAAUACCGCAUAACCAUAGUUACCGCAUGGUAGCUAUGUAAAAGGUGGCUAUGCUACCGCUUUUGGAUGGGCCCGCGGCGCAUUAGCUAGUUGGUGGGGUAAAGGCUUACCAAGGCAAUGAUGCGUAGCCGAACUGAGAGGUUGAUCGGCCACAUUGGGACUGAGACACGGCCCAAACUCCUACGGAAGGCAGCAG